CUUACACAUGCAAGUCGAGGGGUAUAGUUCUUCGGAGCUAGAGACCGGCGCACGGGUGCGUAACGCGUAUGCAAUCUACCUUUUACAGAGGGAUAGCCCAGAGAAAUUUGGAUUAAUACCUCAUAGUAUGUGAGAAUCGCAUGGUUUUCACAUUAAAGUUCCAACGGUAAAAGAUGAGCAUGCGUCCCAUUAGCUAGAUGGUAAGGUAACGGCUUACCAUGGCAACGAUGGGUAGGGGUCCUGAGAGGGAGAUCCCCCACACUGGUACUGAGACACGGACCAGACUCCUACGGGAGGCAGCAGUGAGGAAUAUUGGACAAUGGGCGCAAGCCUGAUCCAGCCAUGCCGCGUGCAGGAUGACGGUCCUAUGGAUUGUAAACUGCUUUUGUACAGGAAGAAACACUCCCUCGUGAGGGAGCUUGACGGUACUGUAAGAAUAAGGAUCGGCUAACUCCGUGCCAGCAGCCGCGGUAAUACGGAGGAUCCAAGCGUUAUCCGGAAUCAUUGGGUUUAAAGGGUCCGUAGGCGGUUUAAUAAGUCAGUGGUGAAAGCCCAUCGCUCAACGGUGGAACGGCCAUUGAUACUGUUAAACUUGAAUUAUUAGGAAGUAACUAGAAUAUGUAGUGUAGCGGUGAAAUGCUUAGAGAUUACAUGGAAUACCAAUUGCGAAGGCAGGUUACUACUAAUGGAUUGACGCUGAUGGACGAAAGCGUGGGUAGCGAACAGGAUUAGAUACCCUGGUAGUCCACGCCGUANACGAUGGAUACUAGCUGUUGGGAGCAAUCUCAGUGGCUAAGCGAAAGUGAUAAGUAUCCCACCUGGGGAGUACGUUCGCAAGAAUGAAACUCAAAGGAAUUGACGGGGGCCCGCACAAGCGGUGGAGCAUGUGGUUUAAUUCGAUGAU
rnacentral:rRNA from 1 species